rnacentral:lncRNA from 1 species
GUUAACAGUAGGGCUGAUUUGUUUCCUUUGCCUCCAUGGGGGCAGGGAGCAAUGUUUUGCUGCUGCAGCAAGAGGCCUCCCACACUUACCCUUAUGUUCCUGCCGCUUAAGCACACACCCCAUGUUCCUGGCUCUGCUUUAAGGUACAAUCUAUCUCCAAAUUAGAAGGGGAAAAAAAAAAGCAAAAAAAACCCUGAAGUUGAGCGAAGCACAAUCAAGCUUCUUGGAAAUUAGUUAAACACUCAGAAGGCUGUAUUUAAAAGAAAACUUUCUGCAAUCAACAAAGUGCAGCUUUCAUCAUGAGUUCCUGGUCAGAGACUUCUUUUCCUCUUGAUGGCCAUUUAGCUUUUUCUGAGGAAGCUGUCUAGCACAAAUCUCCCUCCUGUUCCAGGCAGAGAUAUGCAAAAUGCUUGUAAUGAAGCUUCGAGCCAUGUGAAAACAGAGCAACAAGAUACUGCAUGUAGCAGAGAGUGACUCCUGCUUCAAGUAGAAGAAGAGAGGGCAUCCUCCUGGGUUAUGUAGACCUGUCCUUGUAUUUUAGGAAGCUAUUCAUCAGACUUGGGUCUCGUAUGCUCAGAGAACCCAAAGGAAGCAAGUUACUACUGCCAUGUGCUCUGUUUGAGACUGAAGUUACACCUCAGCAGCUCUGGAGUGUGACAGAUAAUGGUUACUGUGUGAAGGUCUCACUGACGGCAAUGGCUGGCAUCAUAUGCAGAAAAUGUAGAAAAGACAGAAUGGGUGAUCACGUCCCCACUUAA